CAGCAGCCGCGGGAAAACGGAGGGUGCAAGCGUUAAUCGGAAUUACUGGGCGUAAAGCGCACGCAGGCGGUCUGUCAAGUCAGAUGUGAAAUCCCCGGGCUUAACCUGGGAACUGCAUUUGAAACUGGCAGGCUAGAGUCUUGUAGAGGGGGGUAGAAUUCCAGGUGUAGCGGUGAAAUGCGUAGAGAUCUGGAGGAAUACCGGUGGCGAAGGCGGCCCCCUGGACAAAGACUGACGCUCAGGUGCGAAAGCGUGGGGAGCAAACAGGAUUAGAUACCCCGGUAGUCCCUGUCUCUUAUAC
rnacentral:rRNA from 1 species